rnacentral:rRNA from 1 species
GAUGAACGCUGGCGGCGUGCCUAAUACAUGCAAGUCGAGCGAAUGGAUUAAGAGCUUGCUCUUAUGAAGUUAGCGGCGGACGGGUGAGUAACACGUGGGUAACCUGCCCAUAAGACUGGGAUAACUCCGGGAAACCGGGGCUAAUACCGGAUAACAUUUUGAACCGCAUGGUUCGAAAUUGAAAGGCGGCUUCGGCUGUCACUUAUGGAUGGACCCGGGUCGCAUUAGCUAGUUGGUGAGGUAACGGCUCACCAAGGCAACGAUGCGUAGCCGACCUGGGAGGGUGAUCGGCCACACUGGGACUGGGACACGGCCCAGACUCCUACGGGAGGCAGCAGUAGGGAAUCUUCCGCAAUGGACGAAAGUCUGACGGAGCAACGCCGCGUGAGUGAUGAAGGCUUUCGGGUCGUAAAACUCUGUUGUUAGGGAAGAACAAGUGCUAGUUGAAUAAGCUGGCACCUUGACGGUACCUAACCAGAAAGCCACGGCUAACUACGUGCCAGCCGCCGCCGUAA